ACAACGAAGAGUUUGAUCCUGGCUCAGGAUGAACGCUAGCGACAGGCUUAACACAUGCAAGUCGAGGGGCAGCGGGGGUAGCAAUACCCGCCGGCGACCGGCGCACGGGUGAGUAACGCGUAUGCAACUUACCUAUCAGAGGGGGAUAACCCGGCGAAAGUCGGACUAAUACCGCAUGAAGCAGGGGCCCCGCAUGGGGAUAUUUGCUAAAGAUUCAUCGCUGAUAGAUAGGCAUGCGUUCCAUUAGGCAGUUGGCGGGGUAACGGCCCACCAAACCGACGAUGGAUAGGGGUUCUGAGAGGAAGGUCCCCCACAUUGGUACUGAGACACGGACCAAACUCCUACGGGAGGCAGCAGUGAGGAAUAUUGGUCAAUGGCCGAGAGGCUGAACCAGCCAAGUCGCGUGAGGGAUGAAGGUUCUAUGGAUCGUAAACCUCUUUUAUAAGGGAAUAAAGUGCGGGACGUGUCCCGUUUUGUAUGUACCUUAUGAAUAAGGAUCGGCUAACUCCGUGCCAGCAGCCGCGGUAAUACGGAGGAUCCGAGCGUUAUCCGGAUUUAUUGGGUUUAAAGGGUGCGUAGGCGGCCUUUUAAGUCAGCGGUGAAAGUCUGUGGCUCAACCAUAGAAUUGCCGUUGAAACUGGGGGGCUUGAGUAUGUUUGAGGCAGGCGGAAUGCGUGGUGUAGCGGUGAAAUGCAUAGAUAUCACGCAGAACCCCGAUUGCGAAGGCAGCCUGCCAAGCCAUGACUGACGCUGAUGCACGAAAGCGUGGGGAUCAAACAGGAUUAGAUACCCUGGUAGUCCACACAGUAAACGAUGAAUACUCGCUGUUUGCGAUAUACAGUAAGCGGCCAAGCGAAAGCAUUAAGUAUU
rnacentral:rRNA from 1 species